UCGCCAGAAUAUUACGGGCGAAAAGCUAAAACUCAAAAGACUUGGCGGUGCUUCAUACUCACCUUAGAGGAGCCUGUCCUAUAAUCGAUACUCCACGAUAUACCCGACUACUUUUUGCAAACUCAGCCUAUAUACCGCCGUCGCCAACUUACCCUGUGAAGGAAAAAUAGUAGGUAAAAAAGUCUACCACACAAACGUCAGGUCAAGGUGUAGCUUAUAAAGUAGAANAGGUGGGCUUACAUUUUUU
rnacentral:rRNA from 1 species